AAGCGAUUAAAGACAGAUAAAAAAGAAAAGGCGUUUGAUAAAAGACGGCGGGAGCAGCUGCUCUAUUUGCUGCUCUAUGACUUGGAGGUGAGUUAUGUUUGUUUGUAGUUAACAUUUUUAACUGAAUAAACAUAACUACAUAUA